GACAGAGGGGGCAAGCGUUGCUCGGAAUUACUGGGCGUAAAGGGCGCGUAGGCGGGAUGGCAAGUCGGUCGUGAAAUCCUUCGGCUCAACCGAAGAACGUCGAUCGAUACUGCUGUUCUUGAGGGUUGCAGAGGAGACUGGAAUUCCCGGUGUAGCGGUGAAAUGUGUAGAGAUCGGGGAGGAAUACCAGUGGCGAAGGCGGCCUCUGGACGGA
rnacentral:rRNA from 1 species